AUUGAACGCUGGCGGCAGGCCUAACACAUGCAAGUCGAAUGGUAACAGGAAACAGCUUGCUGUUUCGCUGACGAGUGGCGGACGGGUGAGUAAUGUCUGGGAAACUGCCUGAUGGAGGGGGAUAACUACUGGAAACGGUAGCUAAUACCGCAUAACGUCGCAAGACCAAAGAGGGGGACCUUCGGGCCUCUUGCCAUCAGAUGUGCCCAGAUGGGAUUAGCUAGUAGGUGGGGUAACGGCUCACCUAGGCGACGAUCCCUAGCUGGUCUGAGAGGAUGACCAGCAACACGGGAACUGAGCCCGGUCCCAGCCUCCGAGGGGAGCAGGCGGGGGGGAAUAUUGCACAAGGGGCGAAAGCCGGAUGCGGCCAUGCCGGGGGUAGGAAGAGGGCUUUGGGGUUUAAAAGUUCUUGCGGGGGGGAGGAGGGAAAAAAAUUAAAUACCUUUGCUAAUGGACGUUCCCCGAAGAAGAAGCCCCGGCUAACCCCGUG
rnacentral:rRNA from 1 species